GGGAAUGUAGCUCAGUGGCACAGCGCCAGCCUGGUAAGCACAAGGCCUGAGUUGGAUUCUCAGUACCCA
rnacentral:tRNA from 1 species